rnacentral:rRNA from 1 species
GCAGGCCUAACACAUGCAAGUCGAACGGUAACAGGAAGCAGCUUGCUGCUUCGCUGACGAGUGGCGGACGGGUGAGUAAUGUCUGGGAAACUGCCUGAUGGAGGGGGGAUAACUACUGGAAACGGUAGCUAAUACCGCAUAACGUCGCAAGACCAAAGAGGGGGGACCUUCGGGCCUCUUGCCAUCGGAUGUGCCCAGAUGGGAUUAGCUAGUAGGUGGGGUAACGGCUCACCUAGGCGACGAUCCCUAGCUGGUCUGAGAGGAUGACCAGCCACACUGGAACUGAGACACGGUCCAGACUCCUACGGGAGGCAGCAGUGGGGAAUAUUGCACAAUGGGCGCAAGCCUGAUGCAGCCAUGCCGCGUGUAUGAAGAAGGCCUUCGGGUUGUAAAGUACUUUCAGCGGGGAGGAAGGCGAUAAGGUUAAUAACCUUGUCGAUUGACGUUACCCGCAGAAGAAGCACCGGCUAACUCCGUGCCAGCAGCCGCGGUAAUACGGAGGGUGCAAGCGUUAAUCGGAAUUACUGGGCGUAAAGCGCACGCAGGCGGUCUGUCAAGUCGGAUGUGAAAUCCCCCGGGCUCAACCUGGGAACUGCAUUCGAAACUGGCAGGCUAGAGUCUUGUAGAGGGGGGUAGAAUUCCAGGUGUAGCGGUGAAAUGCGUAGAGAUCUGGAGGAAUACCGGUGGCGAAGGCGGCCCCCUGGACAAAGACUGACGCU